rnacentral:lncRNA from 1 species
AUGAAAACAACCUCUCAUUACUGCCUCUACCAUAGAGAGGUCAUCUACCUCCAGGCACUUGCAUCUACCUUCUUCGAGAGGACAAAAGAAAUACGGCUUGGACCUGAGAAUUCCUGCUCUGCCAACCUCACUCAGAGCCAGAUCCUGACCCACUCUUUCAACAUAGUCUCCUCCAUAAACUUGCCAAACAUCAGGGUGUCCAGAUAUCUUCUGUUCCCCAUCAGCAAAUGCAGGCUUCCCUAUUUCCCAAGACACAACAACGUUGAAAUCCAGCCAAUAAAUAACCCUAUAAUGGCCUCUAAGUGUGCAAGUGAAAAGAAGUCUCAUGUUUCUCAUUUUAAAUCAAAAGCUAGAAGUGAUUAAGUUCUGUGAGGAAGGCAUAUCAAAAACCAGGACAGGCUGAGAGCUAGGCUUCAGUUAGUCAAGUUGUGGAGGCAAAGGAAAAGUUCUUGAGGGCAAUAAAAAGUGCUAUGCCAGUGAACACACACAUGAUCUGAAAGUGAAACACCCUUAUUGGUGAUAUGGAGAAAGUUUCAGUGGUUUAGAUAGAUCAAACCAGUCAUAGCAUUCCCUACACCAAAACUUAAUUCAGAGCAAGGCCCUAACUCUCAUCAAUUCUAUGAAGGCAGAGAAAGGUGAGGAAGCUGCAGGAGACAUUUGAAGCUAGCCGAGAUUGGUUUAUGAGGUUUAGGGAAAGAAGCCAUCUUUAUUACAUCAAAGUGCAAAGUGAACAGCAAGUGCUGAUGUAGAAGUUGCAGCGAGUUUUCUGGAGAAUCUAGCUAAGAUAAUUAAUAAAGAUGGCUACAACAAACAACAGAUUUUCAAUGUAGAUAAAACAGCCUUCUAUUGGAGGAAAAUGCCAUCUAGAACUUUCAAACCUAGAGAGAAGCCAUUGCCUGGCUUCAAAGCUCCAAAUGACAGGCUGACUCUUUUGUUAGAAGCUAAUGCAACUGAUGACUUUAAACUGAAGCCAAUGUUCAUUUACCAUUCUGAAAAUCUUAGGGUCCUUAAGAAUUAUACUAAGUCUACUCUGCCUGUGCUCUAUAAAUGGAACAACAAAAGCUUGAUGACAGCCCAUCUGUUUACAACAUUGUUUAUUGAAUAUUUUAAGCUCAUCGUUGAUAUCUACAGCACAGAAGAAAAGAUUCCUUUCAAAAUAUAACUGCUCAUUGACUGUGUACCUAGUCAUCCAAGAUCUCUGAUGAAGAUGUACAAUGAGAUUAAUGUUUCCAUGUCUGCUAACACAACAUCCAUUCUAUAGCCCAUCAAAGAGUAAUUUCGACCUUCAAGUUUUACUUAAAUACAUUUGUUAAAAUUCUAAUAGAAGCCACAAAUAGGGAUUCUCUGAUGGGUCUGGGCAAAGUAGAUUGAAAACCUUCUGGAAAAGAUCCACCAUACUAGAUGCCAACAAGAAAAUUGAUGAUUCAUGGGAAGAGGUCAAAAUAUCAACAUCAACAGGAGUUUGGAAGAAGCUAAUUCCAAUUUUCAAAGAUAACUUGGAGGGGUUUAAGACCUCAGUGGAGGAAGUAUCUGCAGAUGUGGUGGAAAGAGCAAGAUAAGUAGAAUUAGAAGUGGAGCCUGGAGGUGUGACUAAAUUGCUGUAAUCUCAAGACAAAACUUUAAUGGAUAAGGAGUUGCUUCUUAUGGAUUAAAAGAAAGUGGUUUUUUGAAAUGAAAUCUACUCCUGGUGAAGAUACUAUGAAGACUAUUAAAAUGACAACAAAGAAUUUAGAAUAUUACAUAAACUUAAUUGAUAAAGCAUCAGCAGGGUUUGAGAGGACUGACCCCAAUUCUGAAAGAAGUUCUAUUAUGAGUAAAAUGCUACCAAAUACAUUACACAGAAAUCAUUUAUGAAAGAGACAAUGUGGCAAACCCCAUUAUUGUCUCAGUUUAAGAAAUAGCUAUACUCACCCCAACCUUCAGCAACCACCAGUUUAUUUUUUUUAAUUUUUAAUUUUUCAGCGUAACAGUAUUCAUUAUUUUUGCACCACACCCAGUGCUCCAUGCAAUCUGUGCCCUCUCCGAUACCCACCACCUGGUUCCCCCAACCUCCCACCGCCCUGCCCCUUCAAAACCCUCAGAUUGUUUUUCAGAGUCCAUAGUCUCUCAUGGUUCAUCUCCCCUUCCAAUUUUCCCCAAAUCCCUUCUCCUCUCUAACUCCCCAUGUCCUCCAUGCUAUUUGUUAUGCUCCACAAAUAAGUGAAACCAUAGGAUAAUUGACUCUCUCUGCUUGACUUAUUUCACUCAGCAUAAUCUCUUCCAGUCCUGUCCAUGUUGCUACAAAAGUUGGGUAUUCAUCCUUUCUGAUGGAGGCAUAAUACUCCAUAGUGUAUAUGGACCACAUCUUCCUUAUCCAUUAGUCCAUUGAAGGGCAUCUUGGUUCUUUCCAUAGUUUGGCAACCGUGGCCAUUGCUGCUAUAAACAUUGGGGUACAGAUGGCCCUUCUUUUCAUGACAUCUGUAUCUUUGGGGUAAAUACCCAGUAGUGCAAUUGCAGGGUCAUAGGGAAGCUCUAUUUUUAAUUUCUUGAGGAAUCUUCACACUAUUCUCCAAAGAGGCUGCACCAACUUGCAUUCCCACCAACAGUGUAAGAAGGUUCCCCUUUCUCCACAUCCUCUCCAACACAUAGCAACCACCACUUUAAUUAGGAAGCAGCCAUCAAGAUCAAGGCAAGACCUUCUAUCAGUAAGAAGAUUAUGACUCACUAAAAAGUUCAAAUGCUGGUCAUGGUUUUUUUUAGCAAUAAAGUAUUUUUUUUAUACCACAUCUUCUUGAUCCAUUCAUCUGUUGAUGGACAUCUAGGUUCUUUCCAUAGUUUGGCUAUUGUGGACAUUGCUGCUAUAAACAUUCGGGUGCACGUGCCCCUUUGGAUCACUACGUUUGUAUCUUUAGGGUAAAUACUCAAUAGUGCAAUUGCUGGGUCAUAGGGCAGUUCUAUUUUCAACAUUUUGAGGAACCUCCAUGCUGUUUUCCAGAGUGGCUGCACCAGCUUGCAUUCCCACCAACAGUGUAGGAGGGUUCCCCUUUCUCCGCAUCCUUGCCAGCAUCUGUCAUUUCCUGACUUGUUGAUUUUAGCCAUUCUGACUGGUGUGAGGUGAUAUCUCAUUAUGGUUUUGAUUUGUAUUUCCCUGAUGCCGAGUGAUAUGGAGCACUUUUUCAUGUUCAUUGUUUUAGACAUACUGCUAUUAUACUAUUAACAGACUAUAGUAUAGUAUAAACAUAACUUUUAUAUGCACUGGCAAACCAAAACUUCAUUUGACUUGCUUUAUUGAGAUAUUUGGUUUAU